AUUGAACGCUGGCGGCGUGCCUAACACAUGCAAGUCGAGCGGCAGCGCGGGAGCAAUCCUGGCGGCGAGCGGCGGACGGGUGAGUAACGCUUGGGAAUCUGCCUGUUAGUGGGGACAACCCGGGGAAACGUCGGGCUAAUACCGCAUACGCACUACGGUGGAAAGCCGGGGACCGCAAGGCCUGGCGCUAACAGAUGAGCCCAAGUCGGAUUAGCUAGUUGGUAGGGUAACGGCCUACCAAGGCGACGAUCCGUAACUGGUCUGAGAGGACGACCAGUCACACCGGAACUGAGACACGGUCCGGACUCCUACGGGAGGCAGCAGUGGGGAAUAUUGGACAAUAGGGGGAAACCCGUGAUCCAGCGACGCCGCGUGGGUGAAGAAGGCCUGCGGGUUGUAAAGCCCUUUCAGUGGGGGAAGAAAAGCCUCGACCUAACACGUCGGGGUCUUGACGUAACCCAUAGAAGAAGCACCGGCUAACUCUGUG
rnacentral:rRNA from 1 species